AUUGAACGCUGGCGGCAGGCCUAACACAUGCAAGUCGAACGAGUGGCGGACGGGUGAGUAAUGUCUGGGAAACUGCCUGAUGGAGGGGGAUAACUACUGGAAACCGUAGCUACUACCGCAUACCAUCAGAUGUGCCCAGAUGGGAUUAGCUAGUUGGUGGGGUAACGGGUCACAAAGGCGACGAUCCCUAGCUGGUCUGAGAGGCAGACCAGCCACACUGGAACGGAGACACGGUCCAGACUCCGACGGGAGGCAGCAGUGGGGAAUAUUGCACAAUGGGCGCAAGCCUGAUGCAGCCAUGCCGCGUGUAUGAAGAAGGCCUUCGGGUUGUAAAGUACUUUCAGCGGGGAGGCGUUACCCGCAGAAGAAGCACCGGCUAACUCCGUGCCAGCAGCCGCGGUAAUUC
rnacentral:rRNA from 1 species